rnacentral:tRNA from 1 species
GCCUGGGUGGCGAAAUUGGUAGACGCGCCAGACUCAAAAUCUGGUAGGGGCGACCCUGUGAGAGUUCGAGUCUCUCCCCAGGCACCA